rnacentral:rRNA from 1 species
AGAUCUGGAGGAAUACCGGUGGCGAAGGCGGGCCCCUGGACAAAGACUGACGCUCAGGUGCGAAAGCGUACGGAGCAAACAGGAUUAGAUACCCUGGUAGUCCACGCCGUAAACGAUGUCGACUUGGAGGUUGUGCCCUUGAGGCGUGGCUUCCGGAGCUAACGCGUUAAGUCGACCGCCUGGGGAGUACGGCCGCAAGGUUAAAACUCAAAUGAAUUGACGGGGGCCCGCACAAGCGGUGGAGCAUGUGGUUUAAUUCGAUGCAACGCGAAGAACCUUACCUACUCUUGACAUCCAGAGAACUUUCCAGAGAUGGAUUGGUGCCUUCGGGAACUCUGAGACAGGUGCUGCAUGGCUGUCGUCAGCUCGUGUUGUGAAAUGUUGGGUUAAGUCCCGCAACGAGCGCAACCCUUAUCCUUUGUUGCCAGCGGUCCGGCCGGGAACUCAAAGGAGACUGCCAGUGAUAAACUGGAGGAAGGUGGGGAUGACGUCAAGUCAUCAUGGCCUUUACGAGUAGGGCUACACACGUGCUACAAUGGCGCA